rnacentral:rRNA from 1 species
CAGCCGCCGCGGUAAUACGUAGGGUGCAAGCGUUAAUCGGAAUUACUGGGCGUAAAGCGUGCGCAGGCGGUUCGGAAAGAAAGAUGUGAAAUCCCAGAGCUUAACUUUGGAACUGCAUUUUUAACUACCGGGCUAGAGUGUGUCAGAGGGAGGUGGAAUUCCGCGUGUAGCAGUGAAAUGCGUAGAUAUGCGGAGGAACACCGAUGGCGAAGGCAGCCUCCUGGGAUAACACUGACGCUCAUGCACGAAAGCGUGGGGAGCAAACAGGAUUAGAUACCCUGGUAGUCCACGCCCUAAACGAUGUCAACUAGCUGUUGGGGCCUUCGGGCCUUGGUAGCGCAGCUAACGCGUGAAGUUGACCGCCUGGGGAGUACGGCCGCAAGGUUGAAACUUAAAGGAAUUGGCGGG